GGACAAUAGAUUCAGCUUGAGGGCAAGAGGAGUUGUAGAAGCCAACUCAGAGAUUGGUAGAGUUUGAAGCAAUGGCAAGGAGGAGGUGGAGGAUGAAGAGAAGCUUCAUUUCCUAAGAAAAUGAAUUGAUGUUAUGGACUCUCCUAUUGGUUACUUGAAGAGGUGAUGAUGAGAUGACAUCAGAAGACUAUCCAGGGCAUGUAUACAUAUAUAGAGGUGGGGGAAA
rnacentral:lncRNA from 1 species